rnacentral:rRNA from 1 species
ACUUAUUAUGGAGGGAUAAAAUUUAUUUAAAAAAAAAAUUUAUUUGUUUUUGUAUUUAUUAAUAAUUUAAUUUUAUUUGGUGAUAAAGUAUUUGUACUGUGAAGGUUGAUUGAAAUAGAAAUAUUUAUUAUUUAAGUUGAUUUUAUUUAUUGUACCUUGUGUAUCAGGGUUAAUUAAAUGUUUAUUAUAAAUUUUAAUGUUCUCGAUUUUAUNAGAGUUAAUUUAUUAUUUUAGUUAUUGUUUUAUAAAUAUUAAUAAUGGUAAGUUGGUAAUGAUAUGUUAAUCGUUUAUGAGGAUAUCUAGUUUUUUGGGAAAUAAAUUUAAUUUACAUUUUUUCUUUAAUUUUUUUUCUUUUUAAUAUAGUUUAAGUUUAAAUGAAUAAUAAGGGGGAUAAGCUCCUUAUUAGAUUUCUAUAAAAUAUAAUUUUUGAUUAAAUUGUGUGGAUUUAAUGAUGAUUAUCAUUGUGAGUAUGUUAAAAUAUUAUUUAUUUAUUAUUUAAUUUUAGUGUUUUUAGAUUUGUACUAAAAAAUUUUAGUAAAUUUUUUUUUGAUUUUAAUUAUGAUUAAAUUAGUAUAUUAAUAUAUUUAUAUAAUUUUUUAUUGGUAAGUAAAUUUGAGGAAUUAGGCAAGGGAAUUAUUCGCCUGUUUAACAAAAACAUCUUUUCUUGUAUUUGAAUAUGAAGUAUAACCUGCUCAAUGAAGUUUAAAUAGCCGCGGUAUAUUGACCGUGCAAAGGUAGCAUAAUCAUUAGUCUUUUAAUUGUAGGCUGGAAUGAAUGGUUGGACGAAAUAAUAACUUUCUUAAAUUUAUUAUUUUGAAUUUAAUUAUUGUGUUAAAAAGCACAAAUUUUUUUUUGGGACGAGAAGACCCUAUAGAGUUUAAUAAUUAAUAUAUUUUUUAGUAUUUGAUGUUUUAUUAAUUAUAUAAUAUUAUUUUGUUGGGGUGAUAUGAAGAUAUAAUAAACUCUUUUUAUUUAUUGUUUAUAAUUUAAUAUUUGUUUGAUCCAUUUUUAAUGAUUAAAAGAUUAAAUUACCUUAGGGAUAACAGCGUAAUCUUUUUUGAGAGUUCUUAUUGACAAUAAGGGUUGCGACCUCGAUGUUGGAUUAAGAUUAUUCUUGGGUGCAAAAGCUUAAGGUUUAGGUCUGUUCGACCUUUAAAUUCUUACAUGAUCUGAGUUCAAACCGGUGUGAGCCAGGUUGGUUUCUAUCUAUUAAUAAAUUUAUUAUUUUAGUACGAAAGGACCAAAUAAUAAAAAUAAUUUUUAUUAUUUGAAUAACAUU